GACGAACGCUGGCGGCGUGCUUAACACAUGCAAGUCGAACGAUGAAGCCGCUUCGGUGGUGGAUUAGUGGCGAACGGGUGAGUAACACGUGGGUAAUCUGCCCUGCACUCUGGGAUAAGCCUUGGAAACGGGGUCUAAUACCGGAUAUGACACGCGACCGCAUGGUCUGUGUGUGGAAAGUUCCGGCGGUGCAGGAUGAGCCCGCGGCCUAUCAGCUUGUUGGUGGGGUAGUGGCCUACCAAGGCGACGACGGGUAGCCGGCCUGAGAGGGUGACCGGCCACACUGGGACUGAGACACGGCCCAGACUCCUACGGGAGGCAGCAGUGGGGAAUCUUGCGCAAUGGGCGAAAGCCUGACGCAGCAACGCCGCGUGGGGGAUGACGGCCUUCGGGUUGUAAACCUCUUUCGACAGGGACGAAGGGCAA
rnacentral:rRNA from 1 species